rnacentral:antisense_RNA from 1 species
CUUGAUCGAGCCCAGCCGGGCCGGGCCGCCGGUGCGGUCCUGCCCGUAGGUGGCGAGUACGGCCUGGGCCUC